UGGGGAAUAUUGGACAAUGGAGGAAACUCUGAUCCAGCAAUUCUGUGUGUGUGAAGAAGGUUUUAGGACUGUAAAACACUUUUAGUAGGGAAGAAAAAAAUGACGGUACCUACAGAAGAAGCAAUGGCUAAAUACGUGCCAGCAGCCGCGGUAAUACGUAUGUUGCGAGCGUUAUCCGGAAUUAUUGGGCUUAAAGGGCAUCUAGGCGGUAAGACAAGUUGAAGGUGAAAACCUGUGGCUCAACCAUAGGCUUGCCUACAAAACUGUUGAACUAGAGUACUGGAAAGGUGGGUGGAACUACACGAGUAGAGGUGAAAUUCGUAGAUAUGUGUAGGAAUGCCGAUGAUGAAGAUAACUCACUGGACAGAAACUGACGCUGAAGUGCGAAAGCUAGGGGAGCAAACAGG
rnacentral:rRNA from 1 species